rnacentral:rRNA from 1 species
UACGGAGGAGGCAAGCGUUAUCCGGAAUGAUUGGGCGUAAAGCGUCCGUAGGUGGUUUUUCCAGUCGGCUGUUAAAGAGCAAAGCUCAACUUUGUAAAGGCAGUGGAAACUGAAAGACUAGAGAGCCGUAGGGGUAGAGGGAAUUCCCGGUGUAGCGGUGAAAUGCGUAGAGAUCGGGAAGAACACCGGUGGCGAAAGCGCUCUACUGGACGGCAUCUGACACUCACAGGACGAAAGCUAGGGGAGCGAACAGG